CCUACGGGAGGCAGCAGUUAGGAAUCUUCGGCAAUGGGGGAAACCCUGACCGAGCGACACUGCUUGGAGGAUGAAGGUUUUCGGAUCGUAAACUCCUGAACGAGGGACGAAUAAUGACGGUACCUCGCUAAUAGCACCGGCUAACUCCGUGCCAGCAGCCGCGGUAAUACGGAGGGUGCAAGCGUUAUCCGGAAUCACUGGGCGUAAAGGGCGCGUAGGCGGUUUGUUAAGUCCGAUGUUAAAGCGUGAGGCUCAACCUCAUCACGGCGUUGGAUACUGGCGAGCUGGACGGUUGGAGAGGAAGGUAGAAUUACCAGUGUAGCGGUGGAAUGCGUAGAUACUGGUAGGAAUACCCAUUGCGAAGGCAGCCUUCUGGACAACACGUGACGCUGAGGCGCGAAAGUGUGGGGAGCAAACCGGAUUAGAUCCCCGGGUAGUCCACACCCUAAACGAUGCAUACUUGGUGUCGGCCCGUUGGGGUCGGUGCCGGAGCUAACGCGUUAAGUAUCCGCCUGGAAGACCCCCAAGGGGG
rnacentral:rRNA from 1 species